UACAGAGGUCUCAAGCGUUGUUCGGAUCAUUGGGCGUAAAGGGUGCGUAGGCGGCGCGGUAAGUCGGGUGUGAAAUCUCGGAGCUUAACUCCGAAACUGCAUUCGAUACUGCCGUGCUUGAGGACUGGAGAGGAGACUGGAAUUUACGGUGUAGCAGUGAAAUGCGUAGAUAUCGAGAGGAACACCAGUGGCGAAGGCGAGUCUCUGGACGACUCCUGACACUGAGGCACGAAAGCUAGGGGAGCAAACAGGAUU
rnacentral:rRNA from 1 species